AGUGACUCUCCCUGUACAUGACUGGCUGAAUCUUAGCAUCGGUCCAGGCUUCCCGCCACAUGUCAAGUGUCUGACAAAUGGCCCUGGGGGCAGGCAUGGUGGAGCCACCCCGGGGGCUGUGGACGCUUGGCUACUCUCUGGUUGGCACCCAAGCUACUGAAACUCUGAUCUUCAGGGGCAAGGGGGCCAGGACAGGGCUGCAGCCACCGUCCAUGGGCCUGUCCUACCUGUCCCGCCUGGAAGGCCAGCUCGAGGCGGGAGCACACUGCAGUCUGAAUCUGGAGGGCAGGGAGUCCGGCCAGUUCCCUGAGGCACGUGCCACCACGGGCAGCUGGUGAGCUUGGUGUAGCCACUCAUGCAGCAGCUGGUGGCCCGGGGAGCGAGGAGGGGACGCGUGUCUGUACACCCUGGUUAGCUGCCCCCAGGGGAUUAGUCCUCACUUAAUGCCUCCCGGUGCCCUGACCCAGCAUUCUGCCUGGCCCCCCCACCACAAAUAGCAUCAGGCAGGACUCCGAGACUUUAUCUUUCAAGAUUAAUCCAGCUCAGCGUGGAAUUAAUGAGAACAUCCCUUUAGACAAGGGUGCCCAAGGUCAGGCGGCAAGAGCCAGUUGGGAUGCUCAGAGGUCAUUUUCCUGUAGCAGGGCCGAGGGAAGAGCCCACUUUAGGGGAGCAGGCGGGGCUGAGGGAGCACGGACGGAGGAGAGAUUUUGUUGAACGAGGGUGCAGUGUUCGGCUAGGAGAAGACCUCGGGGCAGAACAAGGGGUUCGUCUGGCUUCAGAUCAGUGUGUUCACAGGCUUGGGGAUCGCCUGGGGCUGCCGUCCUCAAAAGUCAGGGGAGCCCCAAGCUCUUUCCGGAACCCUCUGCACCCAGGGCUCUCGGUCGGGCCCGGGCUGCCGCAGGGCAGAUGGGCGUGGUUAAAAUAGGAGGGGCUGACACGGCGGACGAAGCUUCGCGUGGGCGGGGCGCCGCGGGUGGGCGGGGCCAUAGAAGACGGGCCAGAAGGUCCGCAGGCUUGGAGAGCAGGCGUUUCUUGCGCACAGCUUGGUCCUUCGCGGCGAGGAGGAGAGACCGUCCAGAGCCUCCUGUCACUGUCUCCGGAGGGGACCCUCUGCAGAACAACCUCAGCAGUCUGAGAUUUGCUGUUCCUGGUCCAGUGUGCAGAGCCACAGCCCGGGUGACCUGGAGGCUGGAGCGCUAACCUUCCCUGCAAGAAGCCGCCCAGGGCAAGCUGAAGAGGAAGGGAGGAGCAGCUGUUAGAUUUUGCACACGAUGCAUUACACUUGGAGUGGUGAGCAAGCAGGCUGCGUCCUGGGAGGCAGAUGACGCCCUUUGUGUGGGGACAGCGACGCAGCUGUGCACGCUCAGACUGGUUGUCACAGACACUGGGCAUUCAAGCCCUUCCCUCUGAAGCAUGGAUGUCUUGAUUUGCGCUGGUGGAAAAUAUCAGGACAGGAAAUCCAGGAGCAAAUGUAGCUCUGUGGAGCUGCCCGUUCAUUUGCAAAAAGAAAAAAUAUAGAUGCCUCUUUCUCAA